GUGCUUGCUUGGGCAGCACAUAUACUAAAAAAAAUUGGAACAAUAGGGAAGGUUAGCAUGGCCCCUGCACAAGGAUGACAUGCAAAUUUGUGAGGUGUUCCAUAUUUUC
rnacentral:snRNA from 1 species